rnacentral:rRNA from 1 species
AACGAACGCUGGCGGCGUGCUUAACACAUGCAAGUCGAACGCGAACGAGUUCUUCGGAACUUUAGUAGAGUGGCGCACGGGUGAGUAACGCGUAAGUAAUCUACCCUCGCAUCUGGGAUAACCCACCGAAAGGUGUGCUAAUACCGGAUACGUCUAAGUUAAUAUCUUUUUUUUAGAGAAAGGUGGCCUCUGAUUCAAGCUACUGUGCGGGGAGGAGCUUGCGUACCAUUAGCUAGUUGGUAGGGUAACGGCCUACCAAGGCGACGAUGGUUAGCGGGUCUGAGAGGAUGAUCCGCCACACUGGAACUGAAACACGGACCAGACUCCUACGGGAGGCAGCAGUGAGGAAUAUUGCGCAAUGGGGGCAACCCUGACGCAGCGACGCCGCGUGGAUGAUGAAGGCCUUCGGGUUGUAAAAUCCUGUCAGAUGGGAAGAAGUGUGUAGUACUUAAUACGUGCUACAUUUGACGGUACCAUCAAAGGAAGCACCGGCUAACUCCGUG